AGAGCGAACGCUGGCGGCAGGCCUAAUACAUGCAAGUCGAACGGAUCCUUCGGGAUUAGUGGCGGACGGGUGAGUAACACGUGGGAACGUGCCCUUUGGUUCGGAACAACUCAGGGAAACUUGAGCUAAUACCGAAUGUGCCCUUCGGGGGAAAGAUUUAUCGCCAUUGGAGCGGCCCGCGUCUGAUUAGCUAGUUGGUGGGGUAAAGGCCCACCAAGGCGACGAUCAGUAGCUGGUCUGAGAGGAUGAUCAGCCACACUGGGACUGAGACACGGCCCAGACUCCUACGGGAGGCAGCAGUAGGGAAUCUUGCGCAAUGGGCGAAAGCCUGACGCAGCCAUGCCGCGUGAAUGAUGAAGGUCUUAGGAUUGUAAAAUUCUUUCAGCGGGGACGAUAAUGACGGUACCCGCAGAAGAACGCCCCGGCUAACUUCGCGCCAGCAGCCGC
rnacentral:rRNA from 1 species